CCUACGUGAGGCCGCAGUGAGGCAUAUUGGUCAAUGGGCGGGAGCCUGAACCAGCCAAGUCGCGUGAGGGAAGACGGUCCUCUGGAUUGUAAACCUCUUUAGGCGGGGAGCAAUGCCGGGCACGCGUGCCCUGAGGGCGAGUACCCGCAGAAUAAGCAUCGGCUAACUCCGUGCCAGCAGCCGCGGUAAUACGGAGGAUGCGAGCGUUAUCCGGAUUUAUUGGGUUUUAAGGGUGCGUAGGCGGAUUUUGUAGUCAGCGGUAAAAUGUGCGGGCUAAAUCCGGUCCGGCCGUUGCAACUGGGGAUCUUGAGUGGGCGAGAAGUAUGCGGAAUGCGUGGUGUAGCGGUGAAAUGCAUAGAGAUCACGCAGAACUCCGAUUGCGAAGGCAGCAUACCGGAGCCCGACUGACGCUGAGGCACGAAGGCGUGGGGAUCGAACAGGAUUAGAUACCCGUGUAGUC
rnacentral:rRNA from 1 species